GAAAGGGCGUGAAUACCGACACGCCUGGGCUGGGAUAUCGGAACACAUUUUCAGGCAGAGAGAGGUCUGCCUUGUUCUGGUAGGGAACAGGAGGUUGAACCAGUGCCCACAGCCUCAAUUUAG
rfam:Lachnoclostridium sp. An118 An118_contig_8, whole genome shotgun sequence.